GGCGAGUGAAGCGGCAACAGCUCAAAUUUGAAAUCUGGCCGCAAGGUCCGAGUUGUAAUUUGUAGAGGAUGUUUCGGGUGUGGUCCAGUCUAAGUUCCUUGGAACAGGACGUCAUAGAGGGUGAGAAUCCCGUAUGUGACUGGGUGCCUAAUCCCAUGUGAAACUCCUUCAACGAGUCGAGUUGUUUGGGAAUGCAGCUCAAAAUGGGUGGUAAAUUUCAUCUAAAGCUAAAUAUUGGCCAGAGACCGAUAGCGCACAAGUAGAGUGAUCGAAAGAUGAAAAGCACUUUGGAAAGAGAGUUAAACAGUACGUGAAAUUGUUGAAAGGGAAGCGCUUGCAACCAGACUUGCACGCAGCUGAUCAUCCGGUGUUCUCACCGGUGCACUCGGUUGCGUUCAGGCCAGCAUCGGUUUUGGUGGUGGGAUAAAGGCCCUAGGAAUGUGGCUCCUCUCGGGGAGUGUUAUAGCCUAGGGUGCAAUGCCGCCUACCGGGACCGAGGACCGCGCUUCGGCUAGGAUGCUGGCGUAAUGGUUGUAAGCGACCCGUCUUGAAACACGGACCAAGGAGUCUAACAUCUAUGCGAGUGUUUGGGUGUCAAACCCAUACGCGUAAUGAAAGUGAACGGAGGUGAGAACCCUUAAGGGUGCAUCAUCGACCGAUCCUGAUGUCUUCGGAUGGAUUUGAGUAAGAGCAUAGCUGUUGGGACCCGAAAGAUGGUGAACUAUGCCUGAAUAGGGUGAAGCCAGAGGAAACUCUGGUGGAGGCUCGCAGCGGUUCUGACGUGCAAAUCGAUCGUCAAAUU
rnacentral:rRNA from 1 species